rnacentral:rRNA from 1 species
GCGCACGCUGGCGGCCGGCUUAACACAUGCAAGUCGAGCGCCCCGCAAGGGGAGCGGCCGACGGGAGAGUAACACGUGGGAACAUACCUUUUGGUUCGGAACAACUGAGGGAAACUUCAGCUAAUACCGGAUAAGCCCUUACGGGGAAAGAUUUAUCGCCGAAAGAUUGGCCCGCGUCUGAUUAGCUAGUUGGUGAGGUAACGGCUCACCAAGGCGACGAUCAGUAGCUGGUCUGAGAGGAUGAUCAGCCUCACUGGGACUGAGACACGGCCCAGACUCCUACGGGAGGCAGCAGUGGGGAAUAUUGGACAAUGGGGGCAACCCUGAUCCAGCCAUGCCGCGUGAGUGAUGAAGGCCUUAGGGCUGUAAAGCUCUUUUGCCCGGGAAGAUAAUGACGGUACCGGGAGAAUAAGCCCCGGCUAACUUCGUG